GGCGGCGCUGCCGUAGCGGGGAAGGGACGGAGCGCCGCGCGGAGGCUGUUGGGGCUGCGGGAGCGGCUGCGCCGUGCGCGGCAGCCCGCGGAGAUUAUAGAAACACUUAAGGUACUACAAGGUUUGGAUUUAUCACUGGAUAUUUUAGUGGAAACUGGCAUAGACAAAACAGUUAAAAGUUUUAGGGAGCAUGCCACUGCUGGGAAUGUAGCUAAGAGUCUGUUAAAACAAUGGAAAAAGCUAAUUUCUCCAGAAAGUAAAAGAAAUCACAGGGGAAGAAAAAAUAAUGGAAAAGAAAAACAUGAGAUUAAAUCAUCUGUUUCCAAGGAGAUUAAGCCUUCAGAGAAGCCUGAAACAUCUGUACCGGCCUUUACGAGUUCCAGCAGUGCUCCCAUUACUACAAAGCUGAAUAAGGAGCAUAUUUAUAGUGAAAAGACCCAUCAAAGUACAAAUUCUGAGUCUCCAAAAGAAUGUGAUAAUAAAGUGUGUAGCAGCAGUGGUUCUAAGCAUGCUUCCCAGGGUACCAAUUCUCAGGCUAAAGAAAGUGAGUUCAAAGAGAGCACCUCCACAGAAAGCAAGAAAUUUUCCAAAAAGCAGCAUUCCUCUGCAGCCAAUGAAGGCUUAUUGUCCCUGAAAGAAAAGCCUAGUAAGGAUGCUUCCAAACAGAGAAAUCCUAAAUGUGUGAAGAAACCAAAACAAAAUCUUGUCAUGAAAGACCAAGCCAAAUCAUCUAGUGAUGAGGAAUUUGAACCCCCUACUAUGUCUUUUGAAUCUUAUCUUACUUAUGAUGAGGCUACCAACAGAAGAAAGAGAAAAGCUUGUUCUACAGGUGCACGGCCAAAAAAGUGCAGUGAAGAGAAGAACAGCUCAUUACUACAAAAGACUUCAAAACUUUCUCAGGC
rnacentral:lncRNA from 1 species